GACCAGGUAGCUCAGUUGGUUAGAGCAUCAUCCUGAAAGUCCAAGGUUUCAGGUUCGACCCCUGGUCAGGGCA
rnacentral:tRNA from 1 species